CUCGCACAGGUCGCUCCCGUAAACCCCUCGCGCCGCCGCCGAUCCCCUCCUCGUCGGGGCUCCUCCCAUGUCCCACCGCCACGGUCGCCCGCUCCUCCCCCUUCUCCGCCGCCACCUCCACCGCUCCGCCACCUUAUGCCACGCGUCUGUGCCAGUCCCGCCCGACGGGAUCCCCUCCAACUCCUUCCCGUCGUCGUCGUCGCUGUCGUCGUCCCCAUACCCGCCGCCGGAUCCCACCGCGGCGCGCUGGUCGCCUUCUGCGCCGCCGCUUUAUACGUCCGCGGCCUCCCACCUCCGCGAGGCCGUGUCCUCCCUCGCGGCCGCAAUCCUCGCGCUCCCCGGCGCGGACCCCGACCCAUUGCCCGCCCUCUCGGAGCACUCCUUCCCGAUCCUCCUCGCCGUCUCGCCGCUCGCGUCGCUCGAUCUGCUCUCCCUUCUGCGGCACAAGCCCCAGCUCGGCCUUGCGGUCUUCUCGUUCCGCCGGACGCUCUCCCCGCCUCCGACCCUCCCCGAGUUUGUCCUCGCCAUCUCGCUGGCAAGCCGCGCCCGCGACACCGCCGCCGCGGCCGCGCUCUUCGCUGACGCCUCCACCGCCUACUGCCCCGACCAGGCGCUCUACAAUGCCCUCAUGUCCGCGUACAUGCACAGCGGUCUCGCGGACCGCUGCGUCGAGGCCUUCCGCACGCUGGAGCGCGACCCGCGGUGUGGACCGCCCAAUGCGGACUCCUACAACAUCCUCAUCGCCCUCUUUGGCCGCUACCUCCUCGUUGACCACAUGGAAGCCACGCUCCGGUCGCUGGAUGCAUCUGGCCACCCUCGCACAAUUGGGACAUACAAUGCAAUCAUCGCCGGGUACCUCACUGCCUGGAGGUGGGAGAAAAUGGAGUCAGUCUUCAAUGAAAUGGCCUCAAGUCAUGUUGCUCCUGACAACACUACUCAUUUGCUGAUGCUAAGAGGAUAUGCACAUGCCGGGAUGAUCUACAAGAUGGAGCUGGCUUAUGAGAGAGCACGCCAGGAUGUUGGUGAGGUUGAUAUAGUCCAUAUACGUGCAAUGCUAUGCGCAUACUGCAAGUUCAAACACGUUGAUAGGAUUGAAAAAAUCGAUGAGUUGUUGCAGAAGAUGGGUCCUGAUGAUUAUAGACCAUGGCUAGCUGUACUGCUAAUCCAGGCGUACGCCCAGGAAGGAUUGCUUGAGAGGAUGGAGCAGUGGAUUGCGGAGGCACUGAAGCGCAAUACCAUAGUCACCUCAGUGCAGGUGUUGCGGUCCAUCAUAACAAGCUAUUUUCGGUGUGAUGCAGUAGAUAAACUCGCGCAUUUUGUCCGGCAGACUGAGGAGGCAGGGUGGAAGCUUUGCCGGAGCUUGUACCACUGCAAGAUGGUGAUGUAUGGGAAGCAACACCGGUUGCCAGAGAUGCAUGGGGUUUUGGAUGAUAUGGCGGCCUUUCAGUUUGACCGAACAAAGAAGACCUUUUGGAUCAUGUACAAGGCAUAUGCCAGUUGUGGGAGAUGGGCCGAGGCCAACACAAUACUUGGCAUGAUGGGGAAGCAUGGUUUUGGAUUCCCCCAUGACGGGUUUAUUCAAUAACACUAUACAGAUGGAUCAUGGUGGUGGUGAAGGUACUACCAGACUAUAAUAACCUCACAUAGACUAGUUUUGGAUGCUGAAGACUUGAAGAGCCCAAAUGGAGUUAUAUGGAUGCAACAUGACGCCGCUAACACCAUAUGGGCUUUUUAUGCCUUUGAUGCUUAAGACAGCAAAAAGUCAUACAUGGAUCCCUAGAGCUCUGAAGUGUCCCAAAGCAUGGUUGAGAGUUUUAAGCUCUACAUGAUUUAGAAGCUUAAGGACUGUUGAAGUUGAUCUAAGCAAAUGCGCUUUGGAUUCUUGAGAAACUGCUGCUGCUUUCUUCCCAUUCUUGUUCAGUAUAAAGUGAUAAACUGUAACUGGGGAGAAGUGCCUAUCGACAAGAUACACCACCCUCACAAUCAAUUAUGCAGAUAAAUUGUAAGAUGAGGCUUCCCUGCUCAUUGGUCAAAACCUGUCACAGAUGGAAAAUGCAAUCUGAGGUGCCUGCUUGUUUCAUGUUGCACUUUCAGCCUUACCAAAGGUUCUUCCAGGAAAUCAUGGCCAACAUUUACAUGUUUGUGUUUGCAUAUCAACCUCAGCCUAGGAGCCAGACUAUUGAAUUGUUUUGAAGAAUUCAGAAUAUUGGCAGCUUGCUUGGAAGUAAAACUUUGAUGGUCGAGCGUUGGCAAGCAAACUAGGGAGUGUGCUUUGAAGUCUCUAUACAUGAACUCUCUAAUUCUCUAUCUUGAAGCAGAUACAAGAUCCUGCAAGGCACUAGUGAAGAAGAAUGCACUUGGAUGGUUUACUAGCAGCUCAAGUUGUUGUACGAAAGACUGGAUGAUAUCUAUCGUCUGAAUAGAAUGAACAGAAAAGUUGGGGAUACCACUGCCGAUUUCGUAUUUGUUGAAAAUAUCGUUGCGGUGCCAUGGCACUUCAUGUUAUUUCAUUUUCAGGCCAGGAAGCACGCAUACCUUUCAUUUUCCCACCAAUUAACUUUGCACCAGUUUUAAACAUAGGUGCGACGAUUCUUUUGGUAAUCAUACAACUUGUAACCAGCAGAAAAUGUAGUUGUCAAGCAUGCCCUAUUAUUGUCAUGUAUAUUGUCGCUUUGUUCCAUGCAUCAAUGUCUCCCCUUUUUCAGCUGCAAAUAAUUGCAGGUUAUCAUAUAAAGCAUUGCUUUCAGAUUGGAAUUACAUGUGUUAUAAUUUGUUUGGUCAUAGUAACUCUUU